AUGUUAUCAUCCUCAAGACUUGUAGAUAACAUUAUUAGAGUGAAAUUGCAUCACUUCUCAGAUGCCAGCAACGUGGGAUAUGGUGCAUGCUCCUACCUCAGAUAUAAAAAUAACAACAACCAAGUCCAUUGUAACCUUGUGAUGGCUAAAGCAAGAGUUGCACCUACCAAGGUCCACAGUAUCCCAAGGCUGGAGCUCUCUGCUGCGGUCACUUCAGCAAAACUAAGUACUGUGCUUAAGACUGAACUUGAAAUGAAAAUUGACAGAGAAUUUUUCUGGACUGACUCCCAAGUAGUGUUGGCAUACAUCAACAAUGAAGCACGAAGAUUUCAUGUGUUUGUAGCCAACCGUGUUCAAGUGAUAGGAGCCAACACAGACCCAAGUCAGUGGCAUUAUGUCGACACUACACAAAACCCAGCUGAUCAUGCCUCUAGAGGUCUUCAUGCAAAGGACAUCUCUUCAACUACCUGGCUUUCAGGGCCUAGGUUUUUGUGGGAAGAGGAGGUUCCCCCAGCGCCUAAUCCACCAACUGAGUUGCUUGUUGGCGAUCCAGAAGUUAAAUCAGUCCAAGCCUUUGCAACACAGGUCAGCGAGCAAAGAGAUGUUUUGAAUCGCCUGAGUCGGUUUUCCACUUGGACAAGGCUCAUUAAGGUGGUUGCCAGAAUCAAGAGACUAGGGUGCAAGCUGGAACACCAAAGCGAACUUGUGACUGUUGAAGAACGUAAGGAGGCUGCCAAGGUGGUGAUUAAGCUUGUUCAGCAGGACACUUUCUCCCAAGAGCUAAGGCUAUUUCGUAAGGGAAAUAGUCUUCCGAGAUCAAGUCCUCUUGUUCGCCUUGACCCUAUUCUGGAUGAUGGACUUAUUCGUGUUGGAGGCAGACUGAAAGCGUCAUCCCUUGAUCUAGAGCUUAAACACCCUGUCGUUCUCCCAAAAGACAGCCAUGUCACAAGGCUGAUAGGCUGGCAUCAUGUGUCUGAGGUGGUGGUUUCCUCUCUUCACCUUCUACACCUCUGA
rnacentral:lncRNA from 1 species